UCUAUAGUAGCUUAAACAAAGCAUUCAACUGUUAAUUUAAAGAUACUUAAUAACACAAGUCUACAGAG
rnacentral:tRNA from 1 species